AUACUAACCUGGCAGGGGAGGCACCUUGAUCAAGAAGGAGGUUUUCUCAAUGUGAGGCUCAUCCAUUGCACUGCAGGGGUGCUGACCCCUGUGAUUUCCCCAAAUGUGGGAAAAGUGGACUGCAUCAUUUGUGACAGUGGGGGGGCUGUAUUCAUGCUGUUUA
ensembl:snRNA U1 U1 spliceosomal RNA